AUUGAACGCUGGCGGCAUGCCUUACACAUGCAAGUCGAACGGUAACGGGCCUUCGGGUGCCGACGAGUGGCGAACGGGUGAGUAAUACAUCGGAACGUGCCCGAUCGUGGGGGAUAACGAGGCGAAAGCUUUGCUAAUACCGCAUACGAUCUACGGAUGAAAGCAGGGGACCGCAAGGCCUUGCGCGGACGGAGCGGCCGAUGGCAGAUUAGGUAGUUGGUGGGAUAAAAGCUUACCAAGCCGACGAUCUGUAGCUGGUCUGAGAGGAUGAUCAGCCACACUGGGACUGAGACACGGCCCAGACUCCUACGGGAGGCAGCAGUGGGGAAUUUUGGACAAGGGGCGCAAGCCUGAUCCAGCCAUGCCGCGUGCAGGAUGAAGGCCUUCGGGUUGUAAAAUGCUUUUGUACGGAACGAAAAGCCUUCUUUUAAUACAGGAGGGUCAUGACGGUACCGUAAGAAUAAGCACCGGCUAACUACGUG
rnacentral:rRNA from 1 species